rnacentral:rRNA from 1 species
AUUGAACGCUGGCGGCAUGCCUUACACAUGCAAGUCGAACGGUAACAGGUUAAGCUGACGAGUGGCGAACGGGUGAGUAAUGUAUCGGAACGUGCCCAGUCGUGGGGGAUAACUGCUCGAAAGAGCAGCUAAUACCGCAUACGACCUGAGGGUGAAAGCGGGGGAUCGCAAGACCUCGCGCGAUUGGAGCGGCCGAUAUCAGAUUAGGUAGUUGGUGAGGUAAAGGCUCACCAAGCCGACGAUCUGUAGCUGGUCUGAGAGGACGACCAGCCACACUGGGACUGAGACACGGCCCAGACUCCUACGGGAGGCAGCAGUGGGGAAUUUUGGACAAAGGGCGCAAGCCUGAUCCAGCCAUGCCGCGUGCGGGAAGAAGGCCUUCGGGUUGUAAACCGCUUUUGCCAGGGAAGAAAAGGUUCUGGCUAAUACCUGGGACUCAUGACGGUACCUGAAGAAUAAGCACCGGCUAACUACGUG